rnacentral:rRNA from 1 species
UACGUAGGCAGCAAGCGUUGUUCGGAAUUACUGGGCGUAAAGAGUGUGUAGGCGGUGCUCCAAGUCUGGUGUGAAAUCUCCCGGCUUAACUGGGAGGGUGCAUUAGAAACUGGAAUGCUAGAGGAUGGGAGAGGUAAGCGGAAUUCCUGGUGUAGCGGUGAAAUGCGUAGAUAUCAGGAGGAACACCUGUGGCGAAGGCGGGUCUCUGGGCAGAGACUGACGCUGAGGCGCGACAGCGUGGGGAGCAAACAGG